rnacentral:rRNA from 1 species
UACGGGGGGGGCAAGCGUUGUUCGGAAUUACUGGGCGUAAAGGGCCAGUAGGCGGCCAACUAAGUCCGACGUGAAAUCCCAAGGCUUAACCUUGGAACUGCGUCGGAUACUGGAUGGCUUGAAUUCGGGAGAGGGAUGCAGAAUUCCAGGUGUAGCGGUGAAAUGCGUAGAUAUCUGGAGGAAUACCCGUGGCGAAGGCGGCUCUCUGGGACGGUACUGACGCUGAGACGCGAAAGCGUGGGGAGCGAACAGG